UACGUAGGGUGCGAGCGUUGUCCGGAAUUACUGGGCGUAAAGAGCUCGUAGGUGGUUUGUCGCGUUGUUCGUGAAAACUCACAGCUCAACUGUGGGCGUGCGGGCGAUACGGGCAGACUGGAGUACUGCAGGGGAGACUGGAAUUCCUGGUGUAGCGGUGGAAUGCGCAGAUAUCAGGAGGAACACCGGUGGCGAAGGCGGGUCUCUGGGCCGAAAUUGACGCUGAGGAGCGAAAGCGUGGGGAGCAAACAGG
rnacentral:rRNA from 1 species